AGUGAACGCUGGCGGUAGGCCUAACACAUGCAAGUCGAACGGCAGCACAGUAAGAGCUUGCUCUUACGGGUGGCGAGUGGCGGACGGGUGAGGAAUACAUCGGAAUCUACUUUUUCGUGGGGGAUAACGUAGGGAAACUUACGCUAAUACCGCAUACGACCUACGGGUGAAAGCAGGGGAUCUUCGGACCUUGCGCGAUUGAAUGAGCCGAUGUCGGAUUAGCUAGUUGGCGGGGUAAAGGCCCACCAAGGCGACGAUCCGUAGCUGGUCUGAGAGGAUGAUCAGCCACACUGGAACUGAGACACGGUCCAGACUCCUAAGGGAGGCAGCAGUGGGGAAUAUUGGACAAUGGGCGCAAGCCUGAUCCAGCAAUACCGCGUGGGUGAAGAAGGCCUUCGGGUUGUAAAGCCCUUUUGUUGGGAAAGAAAAGCAGCAGGUUAAUACCCCGCUGUUCUGACGGUACCCAAAGAAUAAGCACCGGCUAACUUCGUG
rnacentral:rRNA from 1 species